UUUAAGUGUGUAUUUAUGUCUUGUAUUGCUGGUAAGUAACUUUCUUGCACUGAGGUCUGUUUGUUGCAAAUAUCUUUGAUCUGUUUUUUUGUCUUAUAAUGUUUAUGUGUGUAUUUAUGUCUUGUAAUGUUUAUGUGUGUAUUUAUGUCUUAUAAUGUUUAUGUGUGUAUUUAUGUCUUGUAAUGUUUAUGUGUUUAAUUAUGUCUUGUAUUGCUGGUGAGUAACUUCCUUACACUGAGGUCUGGUUAUUGCAAAUAUCUUUGACUUGUUUUUAUGUCUUAUAAUGUUUAUGUGUGUAUUUAUGUCUUGUAUUGCUGGUAAGUAACUUUCUUGCACUGAGGUCUGUUUAUUGCAAAUAUCUUUGACUUGUUUUUAUGUCUUAUAAUGUUUAUGUGUGUAUUUAUGUCUUGUAUUGCUGGUAAGUAACUUUCUUGCACUGAGGUCUGUUUAUUGCAAAUAUCUUUGACUUGUUUUUAUGUCUUAUAAUGUUUAUGUGUGUAUUUAUGUCUUAUAAUGUUUAUGUGUGUAUUUAUGUCUUAUAAUGUUUAUGUGUGUAUUUAUGUCUUGUAUUGCUGGUAAGUAACUUUCUUGCACUGAGGUCUGAUUAUUGCAAAUAUCUUUGACUUGUUUUUAUGUCUUAUAAUGUUUAUGUGUGUAUUUAUGUCUUGUAUUGCUGGUAAGUAACUUUCUUGCACUGAGGUCUGAUUAUUGCAAAUAUCUUUGACUUGUUUUUAUGUCUUAUAAUGUUUAUGUGUGUAUUUAUGUCUUGUAUUGCUGGUAAGUAACUUUCUUACACUGAGGUCUGUUUAUUGCAAAUAUCUUUGACUUGUUUUUAUGUCUUAUAAUGUUUAUGUGUGUAUGUAUGUCUUAUAAUGUUUAUGUGUGUAUUUAUGUCUUGUAUUGCUGGUAAGUAACUUUCUUGCACUGAGGUCUGUUUAUUGCAAAUAUCUUUGAUCUGUUUUUUUGUCUUAUAAUGUUUAUGUGUGUAUGUAUGUCUUAUAAUGUUUAUGUGUGUAUUUAUGUCUUGUAUUGCUGGUAAGUAACUUUCUUGCACUGAGGUCUGUUUGUUGCAAAUAUCUUUGAUCUGCUUUUUUUUGUCUUAUAAUGUUUAUGUGUGUAUUUAUGUCUUAUAAUGUUUAUGUGUUUAUUUAUGUCUUGUAUUGCUGGUAAGUAACUUUCUUACACUGAGGUCUGUUUAUUGCAAAUAUCUUUGACUUGUUUUUUUGUCUUAUAAUGUUUAUGUGUGUAUUUAUGUCUUAUAAUGUUUAUGUGUGUAUUUAUGUCUUGUAAUGUUUAUGUGUGUAUUUAUGUCUUGUAUUGCUGGUAAGUAACUUUCUUGCACUGAGGUCUG
ensembl:lncRNA